UACGGGGGGGGGCAAGCGUUGUUCGGAAUUACUGGGCGUAAAGGGCUCGUAGGUGGCCAACUAAGUCAGACGUGAAAUCCCUCAGCUUAACUGGGGAACUGCGUCCGAUACUGGAUGGCUUGGAUUUGGGAGAGGGAUGCGGAAUUCCAGGUGUAGCGGUGAAAUGCGUAGAUAUCUGGAGGAACACCGGUGGCGAAGGCGGCAUCCUGGACCAAUAUUGACGCUGAGGAGCGAAAGCCAGGGGA
rnacentral:rRNA from 1 species